UACGAAGGGGACUAGCGUUGUUCGGAAUUACUGGGCGUAAAGCGCACGUAGGCGGAUUUGUAAGUCAGGGGUGAAAUCCCGGGGCUCAACCUCGGAACUGCCUUUGAUACAGCAAGUCUUGAGUUCGAGAGAGGUGGGUGGAAUUCCUAGUGUAGAGGUGAAAUUCGUAGAUAUUAGGAAGAACACCGGUGGCGAAGGCGGCCCACUGGCUCGAUACUGACGCUGAGGUGCGAAAGCGUGGGGAGCAAACAGG
rnacentral:rRNA from 1 species